UUACAUCAUACUAUGCUGACUGGAGUGGGCAGGGUCAUAAGAGGCAGCAGAGGUGUAGGGAUAGAGACAGCCCUGAGGCUCUGGACAUCCAUCACAGUCACUGUAGUCAUCUCCCUCCUUGACAGACUCCCUGGAGAGAGCAGAAGGCUGCUAAUGGAUGUCUGAGAGGUGAGAGAGGUCCAGAAAUCUAUCCAAAGGCCACUCUGAGAAUCAGUUAGGAGAAAAGUGUUCAGGACAAGCCACAGACUGCUGAAUCCUGUCCCAAAAGGAAAAAAAAAAGAUCCAGAACACCAGCUUUCCAUUCUAAGGGCUGCUAAUGGAUGUUUGAGAGAGGAGAGAUGUCAGGGAAUUUACCCAAAGGCAUCUCUGAGGAUCAGUUGUCAGAAGAGUGGUCAGAACAGGCCACAGACUGCUGAAUCCAGUCCCAAAAGAAAGAAAAGAUUCCUGCUGAUCCCUCCAGAACAACAGCUUUCCAUUCUGAGGAAAACAGAGAUUUGCUCAUUCCACUCAUACUUUUUGGAACUUCCGUGAACAUUUCCCUGGGAUUUACAACUUAAAGCCUAUUAGGAAUCUUGGAAAGAAGACUAAAGGUUAGUGUCAAAAGGGCCUUUAGAAACAUCUGCCUGAAUUACAAGGAGAGUUUAAGAGGCCAAAGGAGAAGAAGUUGAGUACGUUGAUUCCUUUGGAAAAAUCCCAAGGAAGAGGAAUCUUGGAGAGAAAACUAAAGGGGAGUGUCAAAAGGGCCUUGAGGAACAUCUGCCUGAAUUACGUGGAGAGAUUAAGAGGUCAAAGGCAAAGGAGUUGAACAGGUUGAUUCCUUUGGAAAAAUCCCAAGAAAGAGGGCUGCUAAUGGAUGUCUAAGAGAGGGGAGAGGUCCAGAAAUUUUCCCAAAGGACACCUUGAGGAUCACUUGUCAGAAAAGUAACCAGGAAGCACAAGCAACCGAUUGCUGAAUCCACUCCCAAGGAAAAGAAAUAAAUAAUUCAUCCUGGUCCCCCCAGAACCAAGGCUUUCCAUUAUGAGCCUGAAGACAAAGAUGAGGCCUGAAGCAGGAGUCCAGUGCAGUUAUUUGUAAACAUGGGGCCAGGGAUAUGAGAGAGCAUCCUCCCAGGAAGGCUAAAGGCCCUUCUUAAUAGGCCCACCCUUAUUCCUACAAAUACUCUAGUUAACAGAAAUCUAAAAGAAAGCACAAAGCAGAAGGUGUCUCCACUCCAACCUGACAUCUUCCAACCUGCUACCAUGGAUCCAACAAAUGUUGCAGUGCAGCAUGGGAUACUCCCACAUGAACCCCACCCAGCCCCUCAGCCAGCCACACACCCAGAGAAGACACUGCCAUGCUCACAUGCAAAUUCUUGUUCCCCCAAAUCACUCCAUAAAAUGUUGUCAUCCCCAUCCAUUGGCAGUUACGGUGGCAGAAGCCCAAAGGCGGCCCACAGAGGCACUUUCAGAUACACAUGCCUGACUGAGGCAGAAGAGUCAUGGCAACCCAAGGCAACACAGGCUGGCAAUAUUCAUUCCUAUGGAAUGCGAUGGUGGAAGAGUCAGACAUCUCUCCUCCUCGACUAGUCUGUGAUGUUCUACCAGCCAGAGGGAGAGUGCUUCUCCCCCAACAUGCAAAGAUCAUGGAUAUCUCUCACUCAACUUGUCUCUCUCUGCUUCCACAAAGACUGAAGAAGAACAAGAAUUAAGAAGCAGGAGCCCAAUUCAAUGUAGCAUUGGGGCUCAGCGUAUAGGGAACAGCUUUCCCUGGAGGGCUAUAAACACUUCAUCACCACCAAAAUUGAUUCCAGCAAGCAAUUCUGUUCAUAGAUAUCUAAGGCAAUGCACACACAAAAAGGAGUGGGCACAGUGUACCCCCCUCAACCUGGUCUGAUCUCUUCUCGUUGAUAACCAGUGAUGCCCAAGGGAUGGGAUGGAAGUGGGCCAGAGACUCAGAGACUAGGAAGAAGACACUCCUGCACACACUCCUGUACUCAUAAAUACAAUCAUUUCCUAAAGAAUUUUAUAUCCAUAUCUAUUUGUAAUAAUGUGGAGAGGAGGCAAUAGAAGGAGUUCCAUUAUGACCUUGAGAAACACCUGUCUGACUUAGGAAGGGAAGACUUUUAGGGUAGUCAAAGGAAAAACAGGCUGAGUGUAUUCAUUCUUAUAUAAAAUCACAUGGAAAAAACAAUGGUGGAAGAUUCAAACACACCUCCCAUCUGUGGAACCCUGCUUUUCCUAGUUAUUUAAAUGGGAAGAAGGAGACCACCAUUUUCUGGCAGUCCAUACAUUCAUAUAUUGAAAGUUCUUCUACAUUCUUAUUAUGAAUUCUCUCCCCUUCUUUCCUACUCAAAUGUGAGCAUGAAGAUAUACCAUGAGCAAUGACAUGUUCAGUUUCUCGACAUUUGGUUUUCUCCCUUUUCAGUCUAUGUAUGAUAACUGAGGACACAUGGACUCCCAUAUAAGAACUGGAUUAAUGGGGGGCUCAUUCAGUCUACCUUUCUCUUUGAGUAUAUUCAAAAUCUCUUGGAAUGACAUACACUCUGCACAAAGCCAUGCAAAACUUCAUAUAUUCUAUCUUGAGUCAUAGGAAGAUUGUUUUAAACAUUUAUGGAGCCGAGAGGAGAAAGACAGAAACAGACAGAGAGAAUGACACACACAGAGAGAAAGUAAUUCUACUAUGUUCAGGGAGAGGGAAUAAGGAUGUAGGCAGACACAUAGACACACAUAAGACUAGAGGGGGAAUGUGGGAAUAUUCAUAUCCAUUGCAACAGAAAGAAUGAUGGAUGAGGUUGAUGGGGCAAUCGGAUGAGUAAAAACAAUAAAGGAGGGGAUAGAAAGAAUAUCUGAUAGCUGCAGUGGAAUGAAGGGAAAGAAGGGCAGGAGUUAUCUUGUGGUAUAUUAUUGGUUCUCCUCAAUGGAAGAUAUGAAAUUUUUUUUUCAAGAUAAGUAUCCUCUAGAUCAGAAUCUAGAGAUAUAGGAAUGAAGAUAAUAUGUUGCUAUAUCAAUGAAAUGGGCCCUCUCUUUGUGUAUGUAUGCUUAUACAGCCAAUCACUGAGGACUCUUGAGCAGGAAGGAAAGGGGAAAAUGCAGAGAAAGCCUUGCCAUGAAUAGUGUGAGGACACACAGACCCCAUUACAUCCUAAUAUGCUGACUAUGAGGGGUUAUAAGGGAUGAGUCGGGCAAAAAGAUAUUGAGACAGACAACCCAGGGGCUCUGGUUAUCUAUCAAGCUCAUGUGGUCAUCUCUCUCCCUGACAGUCUCACUAGAGAACAGGAGUAAGAGAACCCACCUUCCCUUUCCCAUUGCAACCAUGCCAAGGCCUAGGUACCUAGGAGCCUCUUGUGGAGGGGAGAAAAAAAGGAACUGCGGAGAGGAAAAGGUAGAGGGGAAAUGGGCCCCGAGUGUGCGGAUGAGAUGGGCACUAACUCCUGGUAGAGAUGUGAGCAGGAUGCCCAAUGAGAAACAAUGGAGACAAAUCUAGGGCAGGGUGGUUGGGAGAAGGACCUCUGGUUGACCAAGGUGAGCACUGACAUCACUGCCCAUCAGGUCUCAGUGUGGAGCAGGGUCUGUCUAGCCUGGACUCAUCUCCACUUGUCUGCUUGUCCCCUUAGAGCUGGAAGUGCUUGUCUAAGAGGCCAGAGAAGUCAGACCUUGCCUAAGAGAAUUCUGAGAACCAGUUGACAGAAAAGUGGUCACAAAACACAAGCCACAGACUACUGAAUCUCCUUGUAAAGAAGGAAAAUGAUCCCUGCUGCUCCCACCAGAACUGUGGCUUUCCAGUCUUGAAGUGAGAAUGUCCCUAUAGCCAGGGGGCACUGGUGGCUCAAGAGAGGAAGGGCCAGAGAGACCCAUGGGUAACACUCUAGGCUUUGAGCAUAGAACGUAGACUGAACUAGUUGAAUGGGGACUGGCCCACUAAAAGGCAUUAGACUGGCAGUGUUUUUGUCAUAGAGGGAGGAAGCUGGAUGACUGGAUGACUGGAGCUAGGAAAAGAUGUAGGACAGGAGUCUGAAGGGGCUUGGAGGUUUGGGUAGCCUGGAGGCUGGAAGAGAUCUCAGAGGACAUCUGGUCCAACCUCCUCAUUUGACAGAAAGGGCUAAGUGAAGUCAAAAAGGGAGGGAUUUGGCCAGGGUUAGAGUAUAAGCUGGUUCUGAGUCCAGGACUCUCUUAUCUACCAAGCUAGCUGUACUACAUCUUGGAAGCUACCUCUUCUGAGAGCCAAGCUUCAUGGACUCGGGUUCCCUGAAAACAGUCACUGAGAAACAGGUGGAGAAAUUCCUCAUAGAACCAGGACUUCUGAGAGUCUUCAGUCAUGGAGAAGAGAUCAAUUGAGGCUCCAGCCAAGCCCCUGAGGGACGUUGGAUCAGCCUCUGGUGGACACAUCGCAGUGAAAGUGCCUUUUCCUGAAAUUCUUCCAUUUAGAAAAGCAGGGAAUUGCUCAUCCCCCUCAUCCCUCCAGAACCCUCUUUGAACAUUUUCCUGGGAUAUGGAGGAAUCAUGAAGAGAAGACUAAAGGGGAAUGUCAAAAGGGCCUUGAGAAACAUCUGCCUGGACGAGAAUUAAGGAAGCCAAAGGGCUGCUAAUGGAUGACUGAGAGGGAAGAGAAAUCAGAAAAUUUACCCAAAGGCCCCUCUGAGGAUCAGUUGGCAGAAAAGUAGUCAGGAAACACAAGCCACAGACUGCUGAAUCUAGUUCCACAAGGAAGAAAAGAUCUCUGCUCAUCCUUCCGGAACAACAACUUUCCAUUCUGAGCACUGAUGAUGAAAGAGGGGAAAAGGAGGCAGGAAUCGAAAAUGGAUCCUGAGAAUAUUGGAGUAAGAAGGGUAAUGACUGCUGGCAGAGAGGUUAGUGAGAUACCCAAUUGGAAGGCCUUGGAAACUGGGGCAGCGUUGUUGGAAGAAGAACCACUGCCUGACCAAGGGCUGCUAAUUGAAGUCUAAAAGGGGGAGAGGUCCAGAAAUUUAACCAAAGGGCAACCUGAGGAUCACUUGGCUGAAAAGUUAUCAGGAAACACAAGUGACAGAAGGCUGAAACCACUCCCAAAAGAAAGAAAUUAUCUAUGCUGGUUCCCCCAACACCAUGCUUUCCAUUAUGAGCCUGAAGACAAAGAUGAGGCCUGAAGCAGGAGUCCAGUGCAGUUAUUCGUGAAAAUGGGGCCAGGGAUAUGAGAGAGCAUCCUCCCAGGAAGGCUAAAGGCCCUUCUUAAUAGGCCCACCCUUAUUCCUACAAAUACUCUAGUUAACAGGAAUCUAAAAGAAAGCACAAAGCAGAAGGUGUCUCCACUCCAACCUGACAUCUUCCAACCUGCUACCAUGGAUCCAACAAAUGUUGCAGUGCAGCAUGGGAUACUCCCACAUGAACCCCACCCAGCCCCUCAGCCAGCCACACACCCAGAGAAGACACUGCCAUGCUCACAUGCAAAUUCUUGUUCCCCCAAAUCACUCCAUAAAAUGUUGUCAUCCCCAUCCAUUGGCAGUUACGGUGGCAGAAGCCCGAAGGCGGCCCACAGAGGCACUUUCAGAUACACAUGCCUGACUGAGGCAGAAGAGUCAUGGCAACCCAAGGCAACACAGGCUGGCAAUAUUCAUUCCUAUGGAAUGCGAUGGUGGAAGAGUCAGACAUCUCUCCUCCUCGACUAGUCUGUGAUGUUCUACCAGCCAGAGGGAGAGUGCUUCUCCCCCAACAUGCAAAGAUCAUGGAUAUCUCUCACUCAACUUGUCUCUCUCUGCUUCCACAAAGACUGAAGAAGAGCAAGAAUUAAGAUGCAGGAGCCCAAUUCAAUGUAGCAUUGGGGCUCAGAGUAUACGGAACAGCUUUCCCUGGAAGGCAAUAAAUACUUCAUCACCACCGAAA